rnacentral:lncRNA from 1 species
GGGGAGGAGAAGACCAGGGGAAGGCUGCCCAUUGGGCGGCUCUCCACCCGGCCAGACUGGGCCAGACUGGGAUCCCAGGCGCAGGGCGCGGAGCAACCCCCCCGCCCCGCCCCCACUCCCUGGCUGGCGAGGGCUCGGGGCGCUCAUUGUGCAGGCAGCUGGCACCAGCUGGGAAGGGGAAUUAGCAUAACAAAGAGCCGGAGCGAGCGCCGCGCGGCCCGGCGGGGGCUCUGCGGAGCGCCCCGGGCUCGGAGAAGCCGCGCUGUCACCGACAGCAGCACGCCCCAGGCCGCCCGGCCGGAGACCCUGGAGCUGCGGGGCCGGCCCCCAUCGUGGGCGUCCGCACCAGCACCGGGUCUGCUUGGGUCCCAGCCGCCGGGCUCGCCCGGAGAAAACAGUGGAAAGCACCCAGGCCCCGGCCCCACCCCAGAGACUCGCGAGUAAUUGGCGCCUGCUGGGCUCUCCAGCGCCGUAUUUCUUAGCCGCCCGCGCUGAUUCCGACCUGCGGCGGAGGCGAGAACCGCGGCGCCGGGUGCUGACCAGCAGCCGCUAGCGCCCAAGGAAGACCCAAGGAGAGGCCGCCGGGCCUUGGAGCUUUUCCUUGUCCUUCCUUGGCUGAGGUCAACUGCGCAUUCUUCCGACAGUAGCGCUUCUGUUUCGAGCCUCCAACUGGGCAACUCCACCUCCGUUCUUGUAUAAUCCUUAGAGCUGCCCCGUGGGAAGAAACUGUCCGGAAACUAAGGCUCAGCUAAGUGUCACAGAAGGUCACAAAGCUAGUAAUUCGGCCAACCGAAUUGGAGCCCACGUUCUUUCCACUGUAAUAUUUUAAAAUAAAAAAGCCACCGCUUUUUAAUGCGCUGCCAGACCUCAAGCCGACCAGGUCCCUGGAAGGACACUGGAGGGAAAGGGGGUCAGGGCGCAGCUGAACCCACGGCCUGAGAAAACAGAUACGGCCCAGAAGACGACCCUAGAAAAUGCCCGGGGUCUUUCCUCCAGCCCCGACUUCUGUGCCCAUCUUUGACUUGAGUCGCCCCUCCUCCCUCCCCUACCCCGGGGAUAGCGAAAAUGUCCUGAUCCAGCCCCUCCAGACUCCGGCUCCCAGAGCCCUUCCUGCAGGAAGGAUGAUGACGGCACCAGCCCUUCGCCAUCACCCGGGAGCUGUUGGCAGCUGCGCAGCCGGG